UGCAAGUGGAACAUCGCAUAGCCUCUGGCUCUUUCAGUUUCCUCACCUUGUGGAAUACAUGGAAUAGUAGAAAUUUAACUCAAACUUUUUAAAGUUAUCAGUUGUGCUACAGGAAAUACAAGCAUGGGAAUUUGGGCUGAUCCACUGCUCCACUAUCCUCUGUGCUGGCAACAUCCCCUGUCCUCUUGUUCAAAUAACCACCGAAAGCUCCACAGACUGAAGUCUCACUGGUGAUCAGACGCUUCUGCCUACUGCAGCAGACACCUUAUGCUCCAGGAGUAACAGGAGAAACAUGCUGGAGGAAAAUGUGUGCAGAGAGUGACGAAGCAAACGGGGUGAGAUGCUAACACCUGUUGAAUAUGGUUAUAUUAGUGUAAAAAAUUGCAAGUAGAGCCAGGUGUGAUGGUGCGUGCCUAUAAUCCCAGAACUCGGGAAGCAGAGACAGGCGGACUGCCAUGAGUUCAAGGACAGCCUGAACUACAGAGUGAGUCUGAAGUACAUAUCAAGACUCUAUGUCAAAAACCAAAACAAAGCAAAACAAAAAAAAGAUCAAGUACAUAUCAAGACUCUAUGUCAAAAACCAAAACAAAGCAAAACAAAAAAAAGUAAGUGAUUUUUGUACAUUGAAUUUGUAUCCCACAAUUUUGCUGAAUUAAUUUAUUA